rnacentral:rRNA from 1 species
UACGUAGGGUGCAAGCGUUAAUCGGAAUUACUGGGCGUAAAGCGUGCGCAGGCGGUGAUGUAAGACAGGUGUGAAAUCCCCGGGCUUAACCUGGGAACUGCAUUUGUGACUGCAUCGCUGGAGUGCGGCAGAGGGGGAUGGAAUUCCGCGUGUAGCAGUGAAAUGCGUAGAUAUGCGGAGGAACACCGAUGGCGAAGGCAAUCCCCUGGGCCUGCACUGACGCCCAUGCACGAAAGCGUGGGGAGCAAACAGG